CAAGGGUGAUGUUAAUGGGGAGAUUAGUUGAGAAAUGUACUUAGAACAUGCAAAUGAUACUUCUUAAAGUAAGACUUUGGGUAAGUUGAAUUGGAUAGCAGGGUUGAAAAGCCUCUGUAGUCAUAGUAUCAAAAAAUAAAUAUAAAAAAUAAAAAUAAAAUCACUUCCUUCAGAGUGAAAUUACAACCUUUAUUUGUUUAUCUGUCUGUAAAAAUCAAAGGAGUAUAGUACUCACAGCCCUAAUGCAAAGGGAGGACCAGGAGAGAGAGGAGACGCUGCUUUAACUCUUCAGGUGAUGUGGUAGCAUGUGGACUAAUUGGUGUUUAUUACAGGAAUUAAGGACUUUAUACAGAUCUUGGUAAACCCAUGAUUGCUGUACUGUAACUAAUACACACACAGGAAUGAACCUGCCAAGCACACCAAAAGUUUAAUUUCAUACCAACAGUUUUGGUUGCAGCUUGUUAACUUGGCCAAAAAUAUAUAUGGAGAAUGGUCUGUAUAUUCCAACAGCCCACAGUAGCUUG
rnacentral:lncRNA from 1 species